rnacentral:rRNA from 1 species
GACGAACGCUGGCGGCGCGCUUAACACAUGCAAGUGGAGCGACGAACCGGGGCUUGCCCCGGGGCAGAGCCGCGAACGGGAGAGUAACACGUGGGUAACCCACCCCGAUGACCGGGACAACCCGAGGAAACUCGGGCUAAUACCGGAUGUGCUCCUUGACCUUGAGGUCAAGGCGUAAAGAUAGCUUCGGCCUUCGCAUCGGGAC